GAUUAAGUUAUUAAGGGCGCACGGUGGAUGCCUUGGCACUAGAAGCCGAUGAAGGACGUUACUAACGACGAUAUACUUUGGGGAGCUGUAAGUAAGCUUUGAUCCAGAGAUUUCCGAAUGGGGAAACCCAGCAUGAGUUAUGUCAUGUUAUCGAUAUGUGAAUACAUAGCAUAUCAGAAGGCACACCCGGAGAACUGAAACAUCUUAGUACCCGGAGGAAGAGAAAGAAAAUUCGAUUCCCUUAGUAGCGGCGAGCGAAA
rnacentral:rRNA from 1 species